GACGAACGCUGGCGGCGUGCUUAACACAUGCAAGUCGAACGGUGAUGCUCCAGCUUGCUGGAGUGGAUCAGUGGCGAACGGGUGAGUAACACGUGAGCAACCUGCCCCAGACUCUGGAAUAAGCGCUGGAAACGGCGUCUAAUACUGGAUACGAAACUGGCCCGCAUGGGCAUGGUUUGGAAAGUUUUUCGGUUUGGGAUGGGCUCGCGGCCUAUCAGCUUGUUGGUGAGGUAAUGGCUCACCAAGGCGACGACGGGUAGCCGGCCUGAGAGGGCGACCGGCCACACUGGGACUGAGACACGGCCCAGACUCCUACGGGAGGCAGCAGUGGGGAAUAUUGCACAAUGGGCGAAAGCCUGAUGCAGCGACGCCGCGUGAGGGAUGACGGCCUUCGGGUUGAAAACCUCUUUCAGCAGGGAAGAAGCGAAAGUGACGGUACCUGCAGAAGAAGCACCGGCUAACUACGUG
rnacentral:rRNA from 1 species